AGCAUAAGAGAGACAUCAGCACCAAUAUAAGAAACUUCCAGUUAGAGUAGGAGUCAAAUAAAGUUUAAAUUCCCAAGGCCUCCCUGGGAACUGACAUCCUACUUGGCAGAAAGAGACCUCUAUGUGGGUAACUGGCAUCCUGGUUGGUGAGUUAAGAUAUGAAUGUUAGGCAAGGCAGGUCCCCUGCCACAGUUGAAUACCCCAAGUGACAACAGGAUACGUGUACAACAAAGUUGUGUUCCUAAGGAAAUCCCCUGUCACCAAAUCCUGAUUGGUGGAAUAACUUGGCGCAGAUAUUUGUGGAUUUCAAGUCUUAAAAGAUCUGUAGGAUCCUGGCUCAUGGUUGCAGCCAGCUCCUGAGUCUGGUCUGUGCCCUUGAUCGAUCAGUCCUGGAGUGAACGUUCAGUAAAGGAUCCCUGACUGACUGAGACUGGUGUUCAUGUGGUUUGUGAGCGACUCCUGGACCCCAACAGGUAUGAAGUGGGCUAAGCUAACUUCAAAUCUGCUGUGUAGCCAAUGGUGACUUUGAACUUCUGAGCUUUCUGCCUCAGCCUCCUGUGUGCCGAGAUUCCUGAUAUACAGUACCAUGCCUGGUUUAUGCGGUCCUGGGGAUCAAUGCCAGGGCCUUGCUCAUGCCAAAUUCACAAACUAGCCAUAUCCUCAGUACUCCUCCCACGAGCCCCUCAUCUUCGAACCAAGACUACUUAGGAUCCAACCUGUAGGGCCUCAGACCUCCUUCUGCAUGGGUACUCCAGGCAGAAGAGGCCAGAAAGGUGACCAAGCUUCCUGGGUUGAGGCCGGCUGUCAACUGUAACUGCGUAUUGCACUUGCCUGUCACUCAAGCAGUCCUUUUCAAAGCCAGGACCCUUUGGGAUGGAAAUGCCAAGCGUGGGUAAGGAGGUCUCUGCCCAUUAGAGUCAAAGGCAGCUUACUGUUCUCACCCAUGUGUUCCACUGCAGAUCUACUAAUCCAGGACCCGACUCCUGUAGUCGGGUCACAUGGGGUGUCUGUUUUGUUUUGUUUUGUUUUCAAGCUCUAUGUGUGAGCCUGGUCCUCUGCAGUGUGAAGCCAUGAGGUGCUUUCUGAGGGACCCUGGGACUUGAGUACAGAGUGCUCACACUCAGUAUGCAGUCGGUACUGAGCGUCCCCAGUAGCUUCCCGUUCUGCUGGUCUGGGUUGGAGCCUCUGUUAGGUAGUUAGAUAUUAACAGGCUUGGAAAGCUUAGGCGCUGGAGCCUGCCUCAUAGUCUGCAGCCUAUAAAACAAAGGACAGGGACUUCUGGGUAUCGGUGGUCACAUGGUUGGGACCCCCUUGGACAGCCUAACUAUUUGAAAUGGCUCCACGGAGUCCUGAAGUUCAUGAAAAGGGGAGCCUUCUAGUAAGGAAGGAAAAACCACAUUAUUCCAGACACACACCACUGAGCCUCCUCCUGGAAAUCAGAGCAAGCUGCUCCAAAGAGAAACACCAUGGACUGGAACAGAGGCCUCAAAGGAAUGCCAGGGCUUUGUUCUUGGGAUUGUAGAAGUGACGCCAAGCCUGCCUGGUGUGUAAGUCCAGUCACUGGUCUCUUUGGCCAUUGUCUGCCCCCACCCCCUUGAUGGCACUUGCUUUGCAAUAAAUUCUGUCUUCUACC
rnacentral:lncRNA from 1 species